rnacentral:rRNA from 1 species
AAACCAACAGGGAUUGCCUCAGUAGCGGCGAGUGAAGCGGCAAGAGCUCAGAUUUGAAAUCGUGUUUCGGCACGAGUUGUAGAGUGUAGGCKGGAGUCUCUGUGGAGCGCGGUGUCCAAGUCCCUUGGAACAGGGUGCCUGAGAGGGUGAGAGCCCCGUGGGGUGCUGCGCGAAGCUUUGAGGCCCUGCUGACGAGUCGAGUUGUUUGGGAAUGCAGCUCUAAGCGGGUGGUAAAUUCCAUCUAAGGCUAAAUAUUGGCGAGAGACCGAUAGCGAACAAGUACUGUGAAGGAAAGAUGAAAAGCACUUUGAAAAGAGAGUGAAACAGCACGUGAAAUUGUUGAAAGGGAAGGGUAUUGGGCCCGACAUGGGGAGUGCGCACCGCUGUCUCUUGUAGGCGGCGCUCUGGGCGCUCUCUGGGCCAGCAUCGGUUCUUGCUGCGAGAGAAGUGGUGCCGGAAAGUGGCUCUUCGGAGUGUUAUAGCCGGUGCCGGAUGUCGCGUGCGGGGACCGAGGGCUGCGACAUCUGUCUCGGAUGCUGGCACAACGGCGCAAUACCGC